AGCAGCCACGGUAAUUCCAGCUCCAAUAGCGUAUAUUAAAGUUGCUGCAGUUAAAAAGCUCGUAGUUGAAUUUCGGGACCAUCAUGUCGGUCGUGCCUCGGUACGUACUGGCAUUGUUGGUUUCUUCCUUCUGACGAACCAUGAUGUCAUUUAUUUGGUGUCGUGGGAAAUCAGGACUGUUACUUUGAAAAAAUUAGAGUGUUUAAAGCAGGCUCACGCUUGAAUACAUUAGCAUGGAAUAAUGAAAUAGGAUGUUUGAUUCUAUUUUGUUGGUUUUUAGGAUCGACGUAAUGAUUAAUAGGGAUAGUUGGGGGCAUUAGUAUUCAAUUGUCAGAGGUGAAAUUCUUGGAUUUAUUGAAGACUAACUACUGCAAAAGCAUUUGCCAAGGAUGUUUUCAUUAAUCAAGAACGAAAGUUAGGGAUCGAAGACGAUCAGAUACCGUCGUAGUCUUAACCAUAAACUAUGCCGACUAGGAAUCAGAUGAUGUUAAUUUUUUAAUGACUCAUUCGGCGCCUUACG
rnacentral:rRNA from 1 species